rnacentral:rRNA from 1 species
UACGUAGGGUGCGAGCGUUGUCCGGAAUUAUUGGGCGUAAAGGGCUCGUAGGCGGUUUGUCGCGUCGGGAGUGAAAACACACAGCUUAACUGUGUGCUUGCUUCCGAUACGGGCAGACUAGAGGUAUGCAGGGGAGAACGGAAUUCCUGGUGUAGCGGUGAAAUGCGCAGAUAUCAGGAGGAACACCGGUGGCGAAGGCGGUUCUCUGGGACGGUACUGACGCUGAGACGCGAAAGCGUGGGGAGCGAACAGG